AAGAUGUACUGGAAUUGAAGGAAAGCUGAUGGAAGUGCCUGCCAAGGGGAGGAAGCUGACCACAAGUGCAGAGUCUUUCCUUCCAAGGUUAACUACCCACUGAAGCAAUCUAAACUAGCCCUGCCCUUUCUGCACAGGUUUUCAUUAGCUGUUUGAUCUGCAAAAAACAGAGACUCUACAGGGAAUGUAGCUCCGAAGAAAGAAAAGGCAGCUACAUGUUGUUUGCCUGCAGCCUGGUUGGCUGUUUAUGUCUACACAAAGCAUUUGCCCCAGAAGGGACGCAUACAGCUCUAGGCAUCCAAGAAAACAAAGCAUCUCAACAUCAGGGCUCCUGCACCCCCGCCCCACUGCCGCCCCGGGGCAGCCAGGCCAAGAAUGGGAGUGGAUCCUUGACUGGAAAGCUCCAAAUUGGAGUCCCGAAGGUUCUGCCCUGGGUUCCUGGAGAUGCUGGUUUGUAGAUCUGGAAGUCCUGUCUGGCUUCUGACGAGUCCUUUGUAGUUAUGCUACCCAUUCCAAGUUUUUAAAAUAAGGGUGAUUAGCAGAUGAUUCCAAAAGGAAACUUCUGGAAGCUGAUAAAAAUUGACUCCUUUAGGCUCUGAGGAAGAAUGGGGGUUUGCGCUGUUAUUCCUCCACAGAGCCUUUUACAGAGGCAUGGUGACAUUUUAAAAGGCAAGGCAGGGUCUAGAGAUUAUGAUUGUGAAAGAUGCUGGCUGGGGCACUCCUGCCUUGAACACAGGGAAGGCAAAUGAAGUGCCGGAUGCUGCGCUGCCCGUGUUCCCACCCCCAUCUCCCUUCCCUCUUUCCCAGUUUCCUGGCCAGCUUAAGUCAUCCUGGUUAUUGCUGUCUCCAGGGGUUAAAUUUCUGACUGCAAAUAAAAGGUUUCUCUCUCAGG